GACUAACGCUGGCGGCGUGCUUAACACAUGCAAGUCUAACGAGAAAGCGGUAGCAAUAUCGUGAGUAAAGUGGCGAACGGGUGAGUAACACGUAACCAAUCUGCCUUGAAGAGGAGGAAAACUGAGGGAAACUUUAGCUAAUCCUCCAUAAUGUGGUGCCUAUCGCAUGAGAACAUCAUUAAAGAUUUACUCGCUUCGGGAAGAGGUUGCGUCUGAUUAGCUAGUUGGCGGGGUAAAGGCCCACCAAGGCGACGAUCAGUAGCUGGUCUGAGAGGAUGAUCAGCCACACUGGGACUGAGAUACGGCCCAGACUCCUACGGGAGGCAGCAGUGAGGAAUAUUGCGCAAUGGGCGAAAGCCUGACGCAGCAACGCCGCGUGUAGGAUGAAGUCUUUCGGGACGUAAACUACUGUUAGAGGGGAAGAAACUCCGGUUACGCCGGGGGUGACGGUACCCUCAGAGAAAGCCACGGCUAACUCUGUGCCAGCAGCCGCGGUAAUACAGGGGUGGCAAGCGUUGUCCGGAAUUACUGGGUGUAAAGGGUUCGUAGGCGGGAUGAUAAGUCAGCGGUCAAAUCCGACAGCCUAACUGUCGACUAUCCGUUGAUACUGUUGUUCUUGAGUACAAGAGAGAUGAGUGGAAUUCCCAGUGUAGCGGUGAAAUGCGUANAGAUUGGGAAGAACACCAGUAGCGAAGGCGGCUCAUUAGCUUGNUACUGACGCUGAGGAACGAAAAGCAUGGGGAGCAAACAGGAUUAGAUACCCCUGGUAGUCCAUGCCCUAACGAUGAGGACUGGUAGUCCAUGCCCUAANCGAUGAGGNNUAGGUAUUGGCUCGCAAGAGUCGGUGCCGCAGCUAACGCAUUAAGUCCUCCNCCUGGGNAAUACGGCCGCAAGGUUGAAACUCAAAGGAAUUGACGGGGGCCCGCACAAGCAGUGGAGCAUGUGGUUUAAUUCGACGCAACGCGAAGAACCUUACCUGGGCUCGAAAUGCUACUGCAAAUCUAUGAAAGUAGAGUUCCCGCAAGGGACGGUAGUAUAGGUGCUGCUGGCUGUCGUCAGCUCGUGUCGUGAGAUGUUGGGUUAAGUCCCGCAACGAGCGCAACCCUUACCAUUAGUUGCCAUCAUCAGUUGGGCACUCUAGUGGGACUGCCGAUGAUAAAUCGGAGGAAGGUGGGGAUGACGUCAAGUCAUCAUGGCCCUUACGCCAGGGCUACACACGUGCUACAAUGGCAGGUACAGAGGGCGAAACCGCAAGGUGAAGAUAAUCCCAAAAAACCUGCCUCGUUCGGAUUGAAGGCUGCAACUCGCCUUCAUGAAGCUGGAAUUGCUAGUAAUCGCUGAUCAGCACGCAGCGGUGAAUACUUCCCGGGCCUUGUACACACCGCCCGUCAACCAUGGAAGUGGGUUUCACCAGAAGCCGUUUGCCUAACCGUAAGGGGGGCGGCGACCACGGUGAGAUUCAUGACUGGGGUGAAGUCGUAACAAGGUAACC
rnacentral:rRNA from 1 species